rnacentral:tRNA from 1 species
AUGACUGCUGGGACACAGGGGUUUGCCGGCUCCUGAGGAGCCGGCGGAUCGGGAUCAGGCCGCGGUCGGUCCGGUCACCGUCCAGCCGGGC